AUCAAAGACCAUAAAAUCGACUAGAACGUACGUUGUCCAGAACCUUGACGCAAGUUCAGUUGAACAAGUUGGGGUAGGAACGAAGGUUUGAGGGAGUUGAGAAAAAAAGUUCGGAGAGAGAAAGACAGAGAAUGGAGGUUAUGAAGAAUAAUAAAGUGACCGGAAGGAGGACAACGAUACCGAUCGAUAUUAGACUAUUCGUGCGUUAAUUCGAUAGUGAUCAAGGGUCAUAGAGAUUUUCUAAUGGUAUGAAGAUAAGGAGAGAUUACGUACCAAACAAACGUAUCGCGUGAUUACAUAAAGCUAAUAGCAUUUACGUAAUUCGUCUAAUAAAAUACUUUUCUAUGCUUACAUGCAACACACUUUGUCUAUAUCGAAAUAUACAUAGUCAUAGUUCUAAAAUUUCAAUCGAUCACUUCGUCGAAUGGAUAUAAUUUAUUCUCGACUUAUUUACAAGUAGAUACCGACUACUAUAUAAGACCUUGAUGAAAUAACCGAAUGAUGUUAUAUGAUGAUUAAAUGGACAAGCAAUUUAACGGUCAAAGAAGUUCGUACACAGGAAACCAAUUUCUGAAUGAACGAAUAACAAUCGUAAAUCGUUCGAAUUGCAACGAGCAAUAAGGAUCAUGAAAGGAGGUAAAAAAGGAAUUAAUGUUUACCAAGAUUUUCUGAAUUGCGCGGGAAAUUCAAGUAGCAUCAGCAGAGUAUAAAGUAGUGUAGGCAGGGUAAACGCCAACAAGUGCAGAACCGCUUCGAUAAUAGUGAGUUUCUGCUUGAUAGAGGGACACCUAAAAUCAGACACGUUGCGACGCCCCUCGAACUACGGCUCAGCUGAGAUGGUCUGAGCCAAUCACGCUGCGCAUUGCUGCUCUCGCCACUUCAAACCAGCGAAUGGUGUUCGUUGAAAUACGUGCGGCUGGUCGCGCACCACACUAGAAUAGUAUCGACGUGUUCCUGCACCGUAUACUAGAAUACAUAUACCUCGUGGAACUCGCAAUCCGCAACGGCCACGUGUCUGUGUGGUUGGCAGAAUACGUGUGAGGUGAGCGCCAUACGCUUUGAGAACGGGGAAACGUGAAUUUACCGGGCCGAACAAUCGAGAAAAAUGAAUCGAGAGCCGGAGAAGGGAGAACAAACUGAUUCUCCGUUCGUACCGAGUCGAAUUAUAUCGGAAGACUGAUUUUCGAACGGUGAAUGCAAACGUAACACGCUCUGAAUCGUACGGAAGACACGCUCAAUCGAUGAACCUACAUGGAGCAACCUUGAACAUGAAAAUAAGAAGAUUUAGGUUCAGACGAAGGAUUUCUAGUAUUUCGGGUAUACACGAAAGAGUUCUAAGGAAAUUAUGGCUAAAAGAGUGGGAGAUUGGAAUAGAUCAAUUUCGUUACCGCAUAAGAUAUAAAUACACGCCGCACGUAUAGUCGACAGAAACUGUAAGAUGUUAAAUCUUAGUAGAGUUAUUUCGCAAAUGGAUGUUAAUUCAAAAAAUUGUUUUCUUUAUAUAAUGAACCAGUUUUAACAGUAUUAGCUAACACUUUAAAACCAUGAAUGAUAUGAAAAUAAAACUCACGAUGUUCAUAAAAGAUAUCAGAGAUAUUAAUCUCCAGAAAGAUUAAAAAAAAUUAAUGAAAAAGAAUUAUGAUGUGGAUUUAGUAUUCGCAUUCGACAAUAUUUCUCUAAGUGGAAGUAAUUUAAUCUACGAUAUCAGCGUGUGGCACUUGACAAUUAUAUAUAUUACGUUUUGCGUUUGGGUUGGCAGGUGUAAAAAUCGUUAACACGUCAUCGUAGUUUUAUUCGAGGUUCCCACAGAUAUUUGAGUUGAUGCCUUUGACUCGGAGAAUGAUUUUGCUUCGACUAUUGCUUUUUAGUUUAUAUGUGAACAGGAUAAAAUAUAUUAUUUGUUUCUUUAUCUUUCUUUAUACUUCCAUUACCAAAUAUUACUUAUAUUUCUAUAAUUCUACAUUACAAAAAUAAAAAAGUCUGAAACUUUAUGAAACAUUACUUUGUAGACAUAUUUCUCUCAAACCUGUGUUUUUUUCACGAAUAUGUAUUUCAAUAGCAACAAUUGGGAAACUUCGUUUAUACGAAAUAUUUAAAUAAUCGAUAAAUAAAUUUCUUUCGUAUCGCGUGCAAUUUGUCAUAACUAGCGCAAUUAUAAAACGUAAUUAGUGACGUUGAUACAAUUGUCGUAACUUCAUAUACAGUACAGGUUUCGUUACGUUCCUUAAUUCACACUCUGGCGAAGAUUCAACUCAAUGAUAUCUGUAUGAGGUCUUAUAGCCGCGCUUAUAAAGAAUGUUGUGCCAAUAGCGUGUGUUCUGUUAUUCACUUAUUGACUUAAUACGUUCAUUGGUGAUUGAGUUUUCCCAGAUCAAUUUUAUCCUACUAUAUUUUCACUUCCAUUAUCAGACAUAUAUUUUUUGAAAACAAAAAUUAAUGAAAGAGGAUUUCAAUAUAAAAUUUUUAUAAUACAUACAAAUGGAUAUAACAAAACCUAUAUCUAUAUCUAUAUAUACACAUCUUUGGUUUGACAGAAAAGUGACAUAAAUAAGAAAAAUAAAUUAUUCUGCAAAUCAAUUCAAAAUAAAAAAAUUGAAAUAAAAAAUAAUUAAUUAUUCGAUUAUUUACCGAUGAAAGAGUUUUUUUCUUAUAAUUUAGUUAACUUUAAAGUUUUAAGUCUUUAAUAAAAUAUUAUCCAUGCAUAUAACUCACUAUUAAGAAAAGAGCUACAGAAUUAAAAUAAUUUUUGAACCUAUGGUAUUUUUUUAAAUAAUAUAAUUUCAUUACAUAAAAUAAUAAAUUUUUAAUUCUCGAAAUUGUUCCUCUUGCAGCAAACUGACGAUAUAUAGCAGGUGGUUUUGACCCGCUUUCACGUCGCUUCAUCCGAUGUCCGAGACUUAAAAGCAAUAGCUAGCAUUGUGUCUGCAUAUUUGCACUGGUAUGCAAUUUGCGCGGGCAUAAGAAUCAAUGUAUUUUACUUUUUGGAUUUGCUUCAGAUCUAACAAAAACACAUAUGGCAGAACUUCGUUACAUCAGAAAGUGCUACUUUAGUGCAAAAAAUAAUCGAUAAUUAACUUGAUUUAAACAAUUUACGAGAAUCUGAUUGCUCUUAACGAGAUCGUCGAAUAACGCAAUUUUCUAUAAUUAAAAAAUUGAGUCGAUUUAGAGAAAAAGCAGAUGCGAAAUAAGUAAGGAGGAAACUUUCAGGAAUGUUGAAAUACGCAUGACACGUAAGAUUUACGCAGGUAUAUGGGUUACACUAUACGACAUAGAGGCAUGCAUAAAGAUUAAAAAAAACGUGGAAAACGUAACUAUAAAAUGAAAAUAAAAGGAAAAUCCUCAAGCGUGGUUAAGCACAUUUAUGAAAUUUUUACACGAUCUCUCUUUCUAAUUAAUUUCAAAUGCUAAUCAAACUAUUAUUAUUACUAUUACUAUCACAACUAUUAUACAUAAUAUUUAGAUUAGAGUCAUAACUAUACAUAUAUUAGCAAAACUUUUAAUAUUUCUACUUAAAUUAAACUGUAGUCAUUUAUACAUACAUUACAUAUUUCACAAUUUAGGAAGUAUACGAAAAAUAUAGGAGUUCAUCUUAAACUAAAUUAGCCUAUGCAUACUUGAUAUUUUAAACGUUCGACAAAUAUGUAUAUUUACAUGUCGCUUCAAAUAUUGAACGGAUCUUAUUGUAUUAAUAACUAAAAUGACAAACUCUUACCGAAUUCCUACGAAUUAACAAUAUUAGUAUUUGCACAAUUACACAUCAAGUAGGUAUUCAUAUAUUCACUAUGUUUACUUGUUCGUGUAUUUCAUAUUUUAAACUGUACCAUAAAGUCUUUAUCCAAAUUCGUAAGAUGUACGAUUAUUGUUAGAGUCGCAUAUUUAUAUCGUUGAUACAAAAUGAAUACACGUACCAAAACAUUCUAUCAAUUUAUUCUUUCAGCGUUUUUGGGAGCUUCGUUACACCGCGAGAAGCUUGUAAAAAUGUUAACUCUUCUAUCUAUAUCGAUUUUAUAUUCUUUUGACAAAGAAAUUCGCAUAUUCUAACGUUUUAAGUUCAAGAAUUUAAAAAAGAAGAAAAAUUCUCCUUUACAAAAAUUUGUCUAUACCCCACCAAAAAAUAAACCGUUUAGUCGCUUUAUUACGCGUCCAACAUUGAGCGUAUCGCAAAUUUUUUUAGGAACAUGACUGUUCAUUUCAUGUAAACUAACUUUCUGUGUCAUCGAACAUUGGUGACUGUCAUAGCGGUCGACAUGUUUGACCUUUGCGAUGCAUAAUUAAUUUCUCUAAUCGCUUUUGAAAAUCUUCAAUUUCAAACGAAAAUGUUAUGUUAAUAGAUAACGCACGUAACAUCAGCAGUCCUAUAGAGAAGGGGAAUGAAUUUUAACGAUAUGUAAAUUACAUUGGAAUUACAAGGGGAAGAAGUGUAUAGCUAAACUAAACUCUGAACUUGGAGCUAAAGUCGUAUAUCGAAAGGCAAAGGUUAAUCUGGAGAUACAAAUGAUUCGCAUAAAUCAGAAAAUGGAAAAAUUAAAGCAAUGAAACUUCGACUACAUCUCCAAUUAACGCUCAAUAUAUAUAUAUGUACAUGUACUAAAUAAGUUUAUCCCUCCAUGUCCAGUAACAAUGAACGUGCAUGCGCGAACGUUGAACAAAUGCACAACGGAGUACACACUAUAUGGUGUAAUAAAUGUGUAGGCAACGAACGUCACACACGAAUGACGAGAAGCACGAGAUGCUGCGUGCGAGAGAAUCACGAGGCUUCGUUCGCUUCCUCGUCCGCGUAUUACGUGACUCACUUGUUGACUAGACAUUAAUUUGAAAAGUGAAAAGUGUUAUUACGUGGUCGAUCUAAUUUCUUUAAAGAAAAAUAUUUUAACAGAAACGUUAUAUCAAAUCUAUUAGAUAGUUCAACUAUGUGUAUAAAUACUGCCCGCUUAAGUGACCCCGAGUUUUGAUUAACGACGUCCCCACUACUUUUUAGAACUGCACGUUCCAAGCAAACUUGGAACUGUAUAAGUACGUUGAUGAUGCAACCUUACAAUUAAAUUGUUGAGAUGCGUACCAUCGAAACAAUACCAAAAGCAACGAUCGAUGUUAAUUGCGCGGUAAUUAAUUUCUAAUUCUUAAACAUUGUCGACUCUCUGAAUAUGGAUUCCAUAGGGCAGAACGUAAAGGUCGAUGUUAUGAAGGUAGGACGUUGUUAUGUUUCAUUCACGAUCACGUAUUCGCAGUAGAGUGAGCCAAAGUAAGAUAACACCGGGGAUUGUAAGCGAAUAAUGCUGUAUACAUAGCAUGUAGUACAUGCGUACGCAUAUAGCAUAUCGUACAAAUCUCGUAUUCAGACAUAAAGUAAUUAAGUAAGAUUUAUUAUAACUUUAUGUAAAAUAUCAGAUGUUUAUAAUUACAGUGGUACUCCAUUUACAUGAACGAUAUUGUAGAUUUUAAUUCACUAUAUUUUAGCUGAUUUCAUAUUAUCUAAAUUAUUGCCGAGCGUCAAUCCUCUUAUAUGAGCGUCUAACAUUGAAAUGUAAACAGUAGGAACACGUGUUACGUGAAAUACUCUCAUGAUUUACAAUUAAUACAAUUUUGAUUACAACAUUGUUAUGUAUUUAAGAGCAAAUGUUCGGUGGAAUUCUCUUAUACGAACGCGAAUUCCUAUUAACAGAACGAAAAAUCACAGAUGAUAGGGAGAAAUAGGUGGCACUCGUAUCAUAUCAACAGCUUGGUUAUAUGAAUCAACUUGUCCCCCGGCAAGUUCAAGUUUAUAUAUCGUUAUAUGAUUGACGCAUAGUAGAUCACGAUUUAAAUUACAUACAUGGCAAAAAUGAAUACUCAUCGUUCCUGAUAUUUGAAGAUUUUUUGUAUGUACAGAUUCUCGUUUCGAACAAUUUGCAUUUUCAUCGAGAAAUUGCAGAGAGUCCAUUUAGAAAAUGUUCGAAGUCCAUUACGUCGAUGUGCAAAGUUCUUCCUUCACAGAAUUUCAGAGUUAAAGUCCACGUAUGAGAUUGUCAAUCGUCAUCGGUUGAAGCAAGGAAAGGCGCAAAUGCAAUAACACCGGUGAUGAUCUCACGUACUUAAGAUCAAAUUGUCUUAUGUGGAAUAGCUGCAAAAUUUCACGCGUAAUUUGCGCACUAUAUUUAAAUUGUGCCUUAAUGCGAUGUAAUAAUGCGAAUAACACGAUGCAAACUAUUAUCAUUUACAGGGUUAUGAAUAUUGAGUCAAUGAGUGUAUGAAGCAAACAUACAUCCUUUAUUAUUCGCUACAUCAUUGCGAUUUUGUCAUUGAACUUCCGAGAUCAAACCGAGGGCAUAGUUGAUUGAAUCAACUUGAAAUACGUUCGAGAGGAGUUUAAAGAGGCAGUCAAGUGAAUAGAAGUUGUUCGAGCAUUAUGAGGUAUUGUAGACUCGUACUUUCAACUGAUUUCAGUUUCUUUGUGUCGUAUAAUGAGCUGAUUGCGAGCCGUAAUGGAAGAAAAUACCGAGCUGUGAUACUUCCGAUGUAAAAUAACAAGAGAAAGGUGUUGCGAGACGUGAGAAUUUGCGCGAAUACAUUUACCGAGCAAAGUAUACGACGCACAAUUAUCGAAUCUUCAAAAAUUCGGCAACUCGGAAAUUUAGGAAUUUGAUAAUUUUGUAAUUUUGAGAUAAUCUCUGUGAGAUAUGAAUUUCUGACAAUUUGAAUUGCAUUAUUGGGACAAACAACUACAUCCACGCAGUAAUGGAUCAUUAAAAAUAAUUAGUCUAAUAGGUGUUUUAAAACGACAGCUUCCAGUAUUCCUAUUAUUUACUUCGACUUUAUAAAUAAUUGAAUAGCCUCAAGAAGCAUAAAAAAAGACUUCCGCAUGAUAUAUAGCUGCAUGCCAUUUUAUAUAUUUGUUUAAUACUGUAUCAUGUAUAUGGUCAGUAAAUUCAGCAUGCAGCUUUAACAUUAGUCCAUUGAAACAAGAUAAUGACAAAUAAAUGUCAUAGGGUGCCGCUUUUUUAUAGCAAUGUUAAAUAAAACGUAAUGGGCAAUUAACGUUCAAGGUUGGGGCACUCGCACACAUACAUAUUUGCAUAUUAUCGCAACUAUAUUCAGGAAGUAAUCGUUUACAAUUUAGAACGACACACUUCUGAUAACGUAUAACCACGGUCUCAUAAUCUUUCCUGCGUACAUCCGAUAAAAUCCAGCAUAACAGUGGUAUUGAAACCACGUAAUACUAAUAUCGAUCGUAAUGACUAUGCUAAAAAUGUUACAGAUGUUCACGAAAAUUACAUGGAGAAAGUUGCCUAACUAAAUACAUUAAUCGUAGGUGACAUUGCACGAAAUUCUAAUUCGGAAUUUCUAUAUUUUAUGGAAAUGCGUGCAUUAAAUUCUUAGGAAAAAGAUUAUCCCGUUUUUUCAUAUAAUCCGAGAAUCUGUAGGAAUAUUGUUUUAGUACAUGUGUUGUAGAUGUAUUGUAGGUGCGAGUUGUACACGUUUUAACCGUACCGCGUGUAAAUAUAUUUCUGUUUAUCUUUGCGAAAUAUGCUGAUAGCUGAUGAUGAUAAUUCUUUAUUUGAUGUAUGCAUGCAUGAUGGUACUACCUCAUUAUAUUAUAAUUAAAAAAUUAAUUUUCUUUAUUUGCGAAGUUACAUAAUGUACUGCUAUACUAUGGAAAAAUUAUUCUUCAUUUUUAUUUCUUUUUUUCCCGAACAAUUGUCGCUAUUUGAAGAAUUCGUAAAAUACUUAGGAUAAUAUGGAGUAAUUUCCAGAUUUUAUAGUAAGUAAAUUGAGAUUAUUUUAAACUUGAAAGAGGGCUCAAAAUGAACACGACUGAAUGAAUUAUUGCGGUCGUUGAAGUUUACAAAGAUAUGUAUAUAGCCUUAACUAAUUAACACCUAUAUAUCGCAGAACACCUGAAAACUGAAACAUUCUAGUUAUAGAAAUUCGAAGAUAAUAAUUAAAAUAUUAUUAUCUAAUAUUAUUUACAUGUGUUUUAUAAUAUGUAUUAUAUAUUAUUAUUAAUUUUACACUUUUAGUCCAAUACGGUGUGCAGAUUUGUCAAUACAGUACUAAUUAAGAAAUCUAAAUAGAAGUUUUUGAUACAAUAUUUAACAACAUAAAUGAUGUAUGUACUUUGAAAUAAUGCGUCAAAUAAUGCUAAUAUUUGUUAUGUAACUAACCGAGGAAAUAAACAACAAUUAUGAAAUAGUGUGAGAAUUUCAAACAUGAAAAUCUGUUAUUGAUAAAAGCUUAUUCGAUUUUUGCACGAUAGGACAUGUAAAAUAACUGACGCACAAAAAUAUUUUCUAUCGUCGGAAGUGCAAUAUACAGGAGCUGGAUCGAACCGCUGCUACUAAUCGACUUUAAUCGAAUCGACGUUUCCGGUGGCCGAUUACAUCCUCGUAUCUGAUCAAGAAUGAAAUUGUAAACGACGCGCCGCGAAUGUAUCAUUGGUCUUAAAAAUUGCAACUACUUUCAACUAGAUUAUAAAUUUAGCUUUCACUCUCAGAAAAUGAGAAACUGUUGCACGCAGAAAAACAGGUUCAAAGCCGUGAGAUAACUUGUAAUAAAAAUACCCGAGUUAAAUUUUUCACGAGUAAAUUUACCGAGAGCAUAAAGUAAUAUUUGUUUCAGCCUCUUAAGAUCCAUCUUUGAAUUUCAUUAAAUUGAUUCUAAAAAAAAAAAAAAAAAAAAAAAAGG